UAGCAAUACUUAAUACAUUGGUCAUUGU
rnacentral:sRNA from 1 species